rnacentral:lncRNA from 1 species
UGUUUCAUACGGUAAUUUUUUUUAUUAUCCAACAACUUUCAAUCUUCUGCUUAGAAAACUGUAUAACUUUGUCUAUUUUUUCUCAUUCUUUAUUAUUCAAAAACAUUCAAUCUUCUGCUUGAGAGGGAAAAAAAAAAAACUUUAUUUGAGCAAAGAUCUUUGGUACCGAUGUUUUGAAAGAUUCAAUUUUCGUCAUUUUUUAUUAUUCAAGAACAUUCAAUCUUCUGCAAAUGGGUUCUGUCCCAAGACCUAAUUUGGUUCCAAUAUUUUGAAAUAUUCAAUUUUUUUCAUUUUUGAUUAUUCAAGAACAUUCAAUCUUCUGCAAAUGGGUUCUGUCCCAAGACCUAANNNNNNNNNNNNNNNNNNNNNNNNNNNNNNNNNNNNNNNNNNGAAAGAUAACUUUUUUGGUUUGCUACGGUGAUUUUGGAAUUUCCAUUCCAACAUGUCGGUUUACGAUUGAUACCUGAUGCGAUAUGCCUUAAUCGUUUUCUCAUUCUUGAUUAUUCAACAAUAUUCAAUCUUCUGCAUGAGAAAAACAGAAAAACAUAUUUGAGCAAAUAUGUUUGGUACCAAUGUUUUGAAAGAUUUCAUUUUUUUCCAUUUUUGAUUAUUCAAGAACAUUCAAUCUUCUGCAAAUGGGUUCUGUCCCAAGACCUAUUUUGGUUCCAAUAUUUUGAAAGAUAACUUUUUUGGUUUGCUACGGUGAUUUUGGAAUUUUCAUUCCAACAUAUCGGUUUACGAUUGAUACCUGAUGCUAUACGGAUUUUUUCAAUCUUGAUAAUUCAAGAAUAUUCAAUCUUCUGCAAGAAUGUGGAUCAUUGUGAGAUGAACUCUUUUUCAUAUCUAAAAAAGGGGUGGAGUAUGUAUAUGGCCAUAAACCCCAAAUAUGAAUGUUGGUGUCGAUGAAUAUACUUUGUUUCAUAAAUUUUGUAUGGGAUGGAUGCCUCAAUGGCCCUAAGAGUAAAAUGCAUUAUGAAUUGAUGGAUAUAAUGCAAUUUUCAUAUGAAAUUGUAUAUGAUGGUGUCUAUUGUCGGUUUUAUGACCCUCGAUGCAAAUCUGAAUUCUGAACUACAAAUUGUCACUAUAGAUGAAAUUUUUGUUCAUUAUCUCAAAAAUGUUGGAUGAUGCCUUAAUGUGAAAGCUAGUUGUUGCCUUAAAUGCAAUUCUAAUAUGAAUUUUUAUUCAUAAUGCAUGGUUGGAACUUGGAUAUCUAUUGUGCUAUGAUGACCCUUGGUCCCUAAAUUCAUGGUUGGAACUUAAUGACCCUAGUCCCUAAUGUUUCAUAAGUUUUGUAAGGGAUGGAUGUUUCGAUGACCCUUUGAGUAAAUUGCAUUAUGAACACUUUAUUCAUUAUGAUAAUUUGGACAGUGGCCUUCAAAGCAAUUUUAAUAUGAAAUUUUAUUCAAAAUGUGCUGGUAUUUUGUGUCUUUUUAUGACCCUAAUUGUGAAAUUGUCACUGAGGUGAAAUUUUUGUUUCAUUAUUAUCUACUAUCUAUAAAGGGUGGUAUCGUAUAUAUGUCCCGAUUAACUCCAAAUUCGACAAUAAAAUCGAUAUACUUCAUUUUAUGAUUUUGUAUGGGAUUGUCUUGAUGGCCCAAAAAUGUUGGAUGAUGCCUUAAUACGAAAGUUAGUUGUUUCCUUAAAUGCAAUUUUAAUAUGAAAUUUUAUUCAUAAUAUAAGGUAUGGAUGGUAUCAUUUGUGCUUUGAUGACCCUUGUCCCUAACUGCAAUUUUGCAAAUGCGAAAUGGAGUGCGUGCUUGUGUUGGAUUAGCCUCCUGAUAAAGGUUUCAAAGGAAUUGUCUAACAAAGAAACGAAUCAACUGAAGUAAAGUAUAAAGAAACCAACUCUUUGGAGUUUGAACUAUUUCUCACAGUAUCUAUCUGAUAUAUAUGGCAUUAUGCAGAUCACCUAUGUCAUAUAAGGAUGCUUGCAUUGUGAUCAAUGGAGGAAACCGUAUCAAGUUUGUGUCUAUCAAUGUUAUUUUACUGCAGACCUAUUAUGACCCUUUUCCUUGGUAUAAGAAUCAGAUAGCACUAGAUUUGUGUUUAUAAUUAUAAAUGCAAGUCUUGGAUUUAGUAAUUGAAUACAGGUGUGAGCUCUUAUAAGCGGGUACAACAAUUGCAAUUGCAGAAUUGAAUCAAUUGAUCACACAAAAUUGCUGGGAUGACCGAUGACAGUUCUAUUGUGCUUUGAUGACCUUUAGUCCCUAAAUUCAAUUUUGCAAAUGCAAUUAGAAGUGAUUUUUCAUUAUGAACUUUAUGACUCUAGUCCCUAAUGUUUCAUUCUUUCAGGCUGAGAGCAAUUGCUGCUCUAAGCUGCAGUGGCGUGAUUUUGGGUGCGCUGCCUAUCUUUGAUUUUAACUGUCCUAAAAAUUUCAUGGAACUCUUAUAAUGCCAUCUGAAUUCUGAACCAUUCUUAUGUCUGGUAUGCACUAUGCAGGGUAAGUCCGUCAAAGACACCAGUCCGAGCUUGUUCUCCUCGUAGUCCAUGAACUGAAUCGACUGUCAUUGUUGCUGGGGUUUGACUGCUGCUACAUAUAUAUAGGUACAUAGAAACAUAUAUGUUCCAAAGAACCCGUGGCGUUUAGUUGAUACUUUUGUCCCUGUGUCUUUGCUCUGUGGUUUCUUUGUUUCCCUUUUGGGUAAUGGUUCUUCGUUUCGCUGUUAGAGUUGAUGGUACUUCGAGGAUCUUUCUUAAUUUAUGAUGCAGAAUGUGACAUGUUUAUCUUGCAUGUCCAGAAUUUUAUGGUUGGAUGUUAUUUGGAGUUUAUUUUGAAGAAACAUGUUACCAAAUUCUUUUUUAGUCAUGACAUGUUUAUUUGGUUGUCGCAAAUGCCUUUAUGUAUGGAUAUCUGUUUUGAUCUUUCUCUUACGCCGUACGAAAUAGUGAC